GAGUUUGAUCGUGGCUCAGAUUGAACGCUGGCGGCAGGCCUAACACAUGCAAGUCGAGCGGUAGAGAGAAGCUUGCUUCUCUUGAGAGCGGCGGACGGGUGAGUAAUGCCUAGGAAUCUGCCUGGUAGUGGGGGAUAACGCUCGGAAACGGACGCUAAUACCGCAUACGUCCUACGGGAGAAAGCAGGGGACCUUCGGGCCUUGCGCUAUCAGAUGAGCCUAGGUCGGAUUAGCUAGUUGGUGAGGUAAUGGCUCACCAAGGCGACGGAUCCGUAACUGGUCUGAGAGGAUGAUCAGUCACACUGGAACUGAGACACGGUCCAGACUCCUACGGGAGGCAGCAGUGGGGAAUAUUGGACAAUGGGACGAAAGCCUGAUCCAGCCAUGCCGCGUGUGUGAAGAAGGUCUUCGGAUUGUAAGC
rnacentral:rRNA from 1 species